rnacentral:lncRNA from 1 species
AUACCCGGUGAAGCCACAGAAACCGUCCCUGCUACAGAGCAGGAGUUGCCACAGCCUCAGGCUGAGACAGGAUUGGGAACAGAGUCUGACAGUGAUGAGUCAGUGCCAGAGCUCAAGGAACAAGACUCCACACAGACGGCCACGCAGCAAGCCCAGCUGGCAGCCGCAGCUGAGAUCGAUGAAGAACCUGUUAGUAAAGCCACGCAGAGUCGGAGUGAGAAGAAGGCAAGGAAGGCUAUGUCCAAACUGGGUCUUCGACAGGUUACAGGGGUUACAAGAGUCUCACUAUCCGAAAAUCUAAAAGUAUCCUCUUUGUCAUCACAAAACCAGAUGUCUACAAGAGCCCAGCUUCAGACACCUACAUAGUGUUUGGGGAAGCCAAGAUUGAAGAUUUGUCUCAGCAAGCACAGUUAGCAGCUGCUGAAAAAUUCAAAGUUCAAGGUGACGCUGUUUCAAACAUUCAGGAAAACACUCAGACUCCAACCGUCCAAGAGGAGAGUGAAGAAGAGGAGGUUGAUGAAACGGGUGUGGAAGUUAAGGACAUAGAAUUGGUCAUGUCACAAGCAAACAUAUCAAGAGCAAAACAACAGUAACGAUAUUGUAAAUGCUACUAUGGAAUUAACAAUGUAA